ACGGGAGGCAGCAGUGGGGAAUAUUGCACAAUGGGCGAAAGCCUGAUGCAGCGACGCCGCGUGAGUGAAGAAGUAUUUCGGUAUGUAAAGCUCUAUCAGCAGGGAAGAAAAAUGACGGUACCUGACUAAGAAGCUCCGGCUAAGUACGUGCCAGCAGCCGCGGUAAUACGUAUGGAGCAAGCGUUAUCCGGAUUUACUGGGUGUAAAGGGAGCGUAGACGGCAAAGCAAGUCUGAAGUGAAAUCCCGGGGCUCAACCCCGGAACUGCUUUGGAAACUGUUUAGCUAGAGUGCAGGAGAGGUAAGCGGAAUUCCUAGUGUAGCGGUGAAAUGCGUAGAUAUUAGGAGGAACACCAGUGGCGAAGGCGGCUUACUGGACCGUAACUGACGUUGAGGCUCGAAAGCGUGGGGAGCAAACAGGAUUAGAUACCCUGGUA
rnacentral:rRNA from 1 species